CCUACGGGAGGCAGCAGUGAGGAAUAUUGGUCAAUGGGCGAGAGCCUGAACCAGCCAAGUCGCGUGAGGGAGUACUGCCCUAUGGGUUGUAAACCUCUUUUGUCGGGGAGCAAAAGCCGGACGUGUCCGGCUGUGAGAGUACCCGAAGAAAAAGCAUCGGCAAACUCCGUGCCAGCAGCCGCGGUAAUACGGAGGAGGCGAGCGUUAUCCGGAUUUAUUGGGUUUAAAGGGUGCGCAGGCGGAUGUUUAAGUCAGCGGUAAAAUCGUGGGGCCAAACCCCAUCCAGCCGUGGAAACUGGGGAUCUAGAGUGUGCGAGAGGUAUGCGGAAUGCGUGGUGUAGCGGUGAAAUGCAUAGAUAUCACGCAGAACCCCGAUUGCGAAGGCAGCAUACCGGUGCACAACUGACGCUCAGGCACGAAAGCGUGGGUAUCGAACAGGAUUAGAUACCCCUGUAGUC
rnacentral:rRNA from 1 species